UUAGAGUUUGAUCCUGGCUCAGGAUGAACCUUUGCGGCAGGCUUAACACAUGCAAGUCGAGGGGCAGCAUAGGGUAGCAAUACUCUGAUGGCGACCGGCAGACGGGUGCGUAACGCGUAUGCAACCAACCUUAAACAGGGAGAUAGUCCGGCGAAAGUCGGGGUAAUAUCCCAUAGUUCUUUUUUCUCGCAUGAGGAGAAAGAUAAACCCGCGAGGGGGUUUAAGACGGGCAUGCGUGACAUUAGGUAGUUGGAGAGGUAACGGCUCACCAAGCCUACGGUGUCUAGGGGUCCUGAGAGGGAGAUCCCCCACAUUGGAACUGAGACACGGUCCAAACUCCUACGGGAGGCAGCAGUGAGGAAUAUUGGUCAAUGGGCGAAAGCCUGAACCAGCCAUGCCGCGUGCAGGAAGACGGCCUUAUGGGUUGUAAACUGCUUUUGUUCGGGACGAGCAUGCAUAUGUAUAUGCAAAUGACGGUACCGGAAGAAUAAGCACCGGCUAACUCCGUGCCAGCAGCCGCGGUAAUACGGAGGGUGCAAGCGUUAUUCGGAUUUAUUGGGUUUAAAGGGUGUGUAGGCGGUUUGGUAAGUCAGUGGUGAAAUCGGGAGGCUCAACUUCGCGAUUGCCAUUGAUACUGUUAGGCUAGAGUAUAGUCGGCUUGAGAGGAAUGCGACAAGUAGCGGUGAAAUGCUUAGAUAUGUCGCAGAACACCGAUAGCGAAGGCAUCUCAAGAGGUUAUACUGACGCUGAGGCACGAAAGCGUGGGGAUCAAACAGGAUUAGAUACCCUGGUAGUCCACGCCGUAAACGAAAAUGACUAGGUCUUUGAAGAGUAAUUUUCGGGGUGCGAGCGAGAGCAUUGAGUCAUCCAGAUGGGGAGUAUGUUCGCACGUAUGGAACUCAAAGGAAUUGACGGGGGCCUGCACAAGCGGAGGAACAUGUGGUUUAAUUCGAUGAUACGCGAGGAACCUUACCCGGGUUUAAAUGUUGGUUGCAUAGAGCAGAGAUGUUCUUUUCUAGCAAUAGACUACCACCAAGGUGCUGCAUGGUUGUCGUCAGCUCGUGCCGCGAGGUGUCGGGUUAAGUCCCAUAACGAGCGCAACCCCUGGUUCUGGUUACCAGCACGUAAAGGUGGGGACUCAGGAAGGACUGCCGCCGUAAGGUGAGAGGAAGGGGGGGAAGAGGUCAAAUCAGCACGGCCCUUACAUCCGGGGCGACACACGUGUUUCAAUGGUCGGUACAGAGGGAAGCCAGGCGGUGACGCCGAGCGGAUCUCAAAAACCGAUCGUAGUUGGGAUCGGAGUAUGCAACUCGACUCCGUGAAGCUGGAUUCGCUAGUAAUCGCAUAUCAGCCAUGAUGCGGUGAAUACGUUCCCGGGCCUUGCACACACCGCCCGUCA
rnacentral:rRNA from 1 species